rnacentral:rRNA from 1 species
UACAGAGGUCUCAAGCGUUGUUCGGAUUCAUUGGGCGUAAAGGGUGCGUAGGCGGCGCGGUAAGUCGGGUGUGAAAUCUCGGGGCUUAACUCCGAAACUGCAUUCGAUACUGCCGUGAUUGAGGACUGGAGAGGAGACUGGAAUUUACGGUGUAGCGGUGAAAUGCGUAGAUAUCGGAAAGAACACCAACGGCGAAAGCACUCUGCUGGGCCGACACUGA